CCGCGCAGCCCGUCUUCCUCCUCGGGGGGCUCGUCCAGAAGCACCCGGCUCCGGCUCAGCUUCCACAUCUCGGGGGUUCGACCGCUCUGCGCAGCGUCGCUCCCGGACUGGGGGAGGACGCUCGGCCCGCGGCUCUGGGACGGACCGCCCCAACCUCCUUAAGGAGGUCCCCUCGGGUAAAUCCAGCCAACCGAGUCCUUUACCCAGGGACCAGGAACCCGGGUGCACCAAAAGCAUAUGACAUGUCACACCCGUGGCCCCGGGACCCCGGACCCUCAAGCUCACUCAGCCCGAUGGGCGUGGUCCAUCCCGGAUCACCAAGGCAACGCUGAGGUACAGGGAAAACAAUGAUGAUGGACAUGUUUUAUGCUUAUGUGGAAAUGAAGAGGAAAAAACCGGGUCCAUUUUCAUGGCUUCAUGCUAGAUGUGCACAGAAAAUCUCCCAUAGACCAGGAUGACCACAGGAGUACAGUCACCGAGGCUGUUAGCCCAGCAAGCUCCGAGGGUUGCCGGCCAGUGAUGGGCCCUGCUUUAUUUCUUUACAGCACUGACUGCUAGCAGCGUGGAAGAGUCCCCCACAUCCUUUGAAGGCCUCCUCCCCCAGCAAGCCAGGGCCAGUGGCUUCCUCCUUGAACUCAGACUCCCUUCAUGUCCCCAGACCAGUCAAAGGCCAAGGCCUUUUCAUUAUUUCCCAUUUCCUCCUCAGGAAAUUAUAUGAUUAUAAUAAAAUACCAAGAAGAAUAGUAA